rnacentral:ncRNA from 2 species
GUAUAAUCGCCGCCGUUUGGUGCCUCGCGCGCGUUCAAGCGCGCAGUUAAACGGGAAACACAUGGCCAUGCUGCUUCAGCCAGCAAGCCAAGGUGUGCUGCCCCCGCAACGGUAAGCAAGCGUCGUUCUUCACGACAGGUCGUCUCUCAAGCCACUGUGCGCAAGCAUGGGAAGGCAAGACGGUCCGCCUUGCCAGCCCGGAUACCGGCCAGACAGGUGGUGCACAC